rnacentral:rRNA from 1 species
AUUGAACGCUGGCGGCAGGCCUAACACAUGCAAGUCGAACGGUAACAGGGAUCAGCUUGCUGAUUCGCUGACGAGUGGCGGACGGGUGAGUAAUGUCUGGGAAACUGCCUGAUGGAGGGGGAUAACUACUGGAAACGGUAGCUAAUACCGCAUAACGUCGCAAGACCAAAGAGGGGGACCUUCGGGCCUCUUGCCAUCGGAUGUGCCCAGAUGGGAUUAGCUAGUAGGUGGGGUAACGGCUCACCUAGGCGACGAUCCCUAGCUGGUCUGAGAGGAUGACCAGCCACACUGGAACUGAGACACGGUCCAGACUCCUACGGGAGGCAGCAGUGGGGAAUAUUGCACAAUGGGCGCAAGCCUGAUGCAGCCAUGCCGCGUGUAUGAAGAAGGCCUACGGGUUGUAAAGUACUUUCAGCGGGGAGGAAGGGAGUAAAGUUAAUACCUUUGCUCAUUGACGUUACCCGCAGAAGAAGCACCGGCUAACUCCGUG